rnacentral:rRNA from 1 species
UACGUAGGGUGCGAGCGUUAAUCGGAAUUACUGGGCGUAAAGCGUGCGCAGGCGGUUUUGUAAGCCAGAUGUGAAAGCCCCGGGCUUAACCUGGGAAUGGCAUUUGGGACUGCAAGGCUGGAGUGUGGCAGAGGAGACUGGAAUUCCUGGUGUAGCAGUGAAAUGCGUAGAUAUCAGGAGGAAUACCGAUGGCGAAGGCAGGUCUCUGGGCUAACACUGACGCUCAUGCACGAAAGCGUGGGGAGCAACAAGG